AAGCCAGUGGUUCAGAUGGAACUAUCCAAUCAGUAGAUAAAGAAUGGGAUGAAGCCAGUGGUUCAGAUGGAACUAUCCAACCAGAAGGUAAAGAAUGGGAUGAACCCAGUGGUUCAGAUGGAACUAUCCAACCAGAAGGUAAAGAAUGGGAUGAACCCAGUGGUUCAGAUGGAACUAUCCAAUCAGUAGAUAAAGAAUGGGAUGAACUAUCCAACCAGAAGAUAAAGAAUGGGAUGAACUAUCCAACCAGAAGAUAAAGAAUGGGAUGAACUAUCCAAUCAGAAGAUACAUCUCCUAUAAAUGUUCAUAUCUGGUUGCGUUGACAACCAAACACAAAGCAUUAUAACUUUUUGUAAUCCAGCAAACAGACUAAAGACUGUUUUACAAACUAAUGUAACAUUCAACCUUUAAAUGAAUAACAUCCAUGGUCACAUUUUGAGGUUACAGUAACUACCUGGAUAGGUUUCUUCUUGUGUAAUCUUAUAGAGCGUUCCAGGUGGCAGGUCAGAGGUCAUCACAGGUCUGUGGAGAUCUUCACAAUGGGCUCUAAUUAUCCGUCAGGAAUCUACAACAGCAUUGAUCACUUGCACCGUGUACUUGUUAAUGUAAUACUCAACUACAAUCCAGGUCAUUAGGUUAUUAGAUGAAGCACAGUGACACCACCUUUAUAUGUUGUAUAAAUAAAUGAAAUACCUGA